rnacentral:lncRNA from 1 species
GCCUUGGCAAAGCAGUCACGUUUAUCAUAUAAAAAAAUGAAAUAAAUCUCAGCUUUGGUUAGAGCCAUAAAUAUUUGAAUUCUUCCAAAGAUCAUGGACACAUCAGCGGUCUAUGCUCGCGUUAUUAAAAUUCUUGGCCGCACUGGCUCUCAGGGUCAGUGUACACAGGUCAAAGUGGAGUUCCUGGGCCAGCAAGACCGUCAGAUAAUCCGUAAUGUGAAGGGACCCAUCCGCGUGGGUGACAUUCUCACACUCUUGGAGUCGGAACGUGAGGCCAGAAGGCUUUGCUGGGAGAGCACAACACAGCAGAUGUCUUGGGGUGCUUGAAAUUUCCCGAAUCGUAAGUUCGUGUGGCAAAAAGACAAAGAAAACCGGCUCUGAAGGGAUUUUCCUGAAUUUUUUAGAUACUUUUGGGCAACAAAUGCGAAGAGUAUAGAGAAGACAUCGGUUAGGUAUGUCUGCCAGCGAGAGAUGAUCGAAUACGAUAAUACAAUAAAAAGACAUUGAUUUAUUCUGCUGAAGAGUUAAAUUGUUAUUUUUGAUUUAUUCCAACAGUACAAUUCGCGUCGAAGAUAUCACAGCAGGGGAAAGCAGGGCCUGAGAUUCCGUUCCGAGAAUGCAACAACAAAAUACACACACACACGGCAUUGCCACGCGUGUUGAAUUUUGCUUAUAAAAUCUGUGCUUUAAACUAAGAGCUAGACGUACACCUCGAAGACUUCAAGGGGAACGCGCGCUACACAAAUAUUUUACAUCAAAUCGCCAAGUUGGGCGAUGCAGCUGAUUCGAU